UACGUAGGGUCCGAGCGUUGUCCGGAAUUAUUGGGCGUAAAGAGCUCGUAGGCGGUUUGUCGCGUCUGCUGUGAAAACUGGAGGCUCAACCCCCAGCCUGCAGUGGGUACGGGCAGACUAGAGUGCGGUAGGGGUGACUGGAAUUCCUGGUGUAGCGGUGGAAUGCGCAGAUAUCAGGAGGAACACCGAUGGCGAAGGCAGGUCACUGGGCUAACAUUGACGCU
rnacentral:rRNA from 1 species